rnacentral:rRNA from 1 species
GACGAACGCUGGCGGCGUGCUUAACACAUGCAAGUCGAACGGAAAGGCCCUGCUUUUGUGGGGUGCUCGAGUGGCGAACGGGUGAGUAACACGUGAGUAACCUGCCCUUGACUUUGGGAUAACUUCAGGAAACUGGGGCUAAUACCGGAUAGGCGCUCCUGCUGCAUGGUGGGGGUUGGAAAGUUUCGGCGGUUGGGGAUGGACUCGCGGCUUAUCAGCUUGUUGGUGGGGUAGUGGCUUACCAAGGCUUUGACGGGUAGCCGGCCUGAGAGGGUGACCGGCCACAUUGGGACUGAGAUACGGCCCAGACUCCUACGGGAGGCAGAAGGGGGGAAUAUUGCACAAUGGGCGGAAGCCGGAUGCAGCAACGCCGCUUGCGGGAGGACGGCCUUCGGGUUGUAAACCGCUUUCGCCGGUGACGAAGCGGGAGUGACGGUAAUGGGUAAAGAAGCACCGGCUAACUACGUG